GAUGAACGCUGGCGGCGUGCCUAAUACAUGCAAGUCGAACGAAACUUCUUUAUCACCGAGUGCUUGCACUCACCGAUAAAGAGUUGAGUGGCGAACGGGUGAGUAACACGUGGGCAACCUGCCCAAAAGAGGGGGAUAACACUUGGAAACAGGUGCUAAUACCGCAUAACCAUAGUUACCGCAUGGUAACUAUGUAAAAGGUGGCUAUACUACCGCUUUUGGAUGGGCCCGCGGCGCAUUAGCUAGUUGGUAGGGUAAAGGCUUACCAAGGCAAUGAUGCGUAGCCGAAUUGAGAGGUUGAUCGGCCACAUUGGGACUGAGACACGGCCCAAACUCCUACGGGAGGCAGCAGUAGGGAAUCUUCCACAAUGGGCGAAAGCCUGAUGGAGCAACGCCGCGUGGGUGAAGAAGGUCUUCGGAUCGUAAAACCCUGUUGUUAGAGAAGAAAGUACGUGAGAGUAACUGUUCACGUUUCGACGGUAUCUAACCAGAAAGCCACGGCUAACUACGUG
rnacentral:rRNA from 1 species